rnacentral:rRNA from 1 species
UCUGAGUACUGCGAGUGAAGGGAAGAGCUCAGCGCUGAAGACCGGCCCUUGCAGGGUCGGUUUGGUGUAGCGUUUGGAGCGUUUCGAAUCUGUUGCGGUGGUGCGGUCUAAGUUUUGCUGGAACGCAAUUGCACAGAUGGUUUUACACCAGUCUGGUCGUGCCGCGCAGCAGAGUGAGAGCGCUCUCGGAGUCGGGUUGUUUGGAAACGCAGCCCAAAGUGGGUGGUAAACUUCACCUGAGGCUAAAUAUGGCUACGAGACCGAUAGCAAACAAGUACUGUGAAGGAAAGUUGAAAAGCACUUUGAAAAGAGAGUGCAAGAGAACGUGAAACCGUUAUAGUGGAAGCGGAUGGAGCCGAUGUAUCCAGUGCGUAUUUAGCCACGGUCGAAUGCAAUUUGUUCGUUUGGAGUUCUGAAAAGUCUCCGGCGGAUAACUGUUGUGUUCGGUGAAUGGUGCACUUGCGCACAGAGUGCGCCGAAUCGGCUGGACUUGGCGUUCGAAGUCUGGCCAAGAGGACCGCCUCGCAAGAGUCGAAAACCUGGGCAUCGGACGGGCGACGCAUGAGUCUGGCUGCGUUGCAUAGGGCUGGUCGACCUGAGGUGGCCGUAGAGGUUGCUACGUUGUUGGGGUGCGGCCCAGGCGUUUCGCCCCAAGACGUGUUUCUUUCCGCGGUCGUUUUUCGGCCGGUUUUCGGUGUUUAGUCGGUCACCCAUUUGACCCGUCUUGAAACACGGACCAAGGAGUUUAAGGUUUCCCCAAGUCAUUGGGUGGAAAACUCAAAGGCGAAAUGAAAGUGGGACACUUGGUGUCUGUGAUGCGAUCCGUGUAUGAUUCGUUGUAUGCGGAGCAGCAUCGACCCAUGACCAGAACUUGUUCUGUUGUGGCGUCUGAGCGUAGGCUUUGAGACCCGAAAGAUGGUGAACUAUGCCUGAACAGGACGAAGUCAGAGGAAACUCUGAUGGAAGUCCGAAGCGGUUCUGACGUGCAAAUCGAUCGUCUGAUUUGGGUAUAGGGGCGCAAGACUAAUCGAACCAUC